CGAGAUGUAGCGCAAUUUGGUAGCGUUUUUGCUUUGGGAGCAAGAGGUUACAGGUUCAAAUCCUGUUGUCUCGA
rnacentral:tRNA from 1 species